AGAGUUUGAUCCUGGCUCAGACUGAACGCUGGCGGCAUGGCUAAAGCAUGCAAGUCGAACGAGCCCGCAAGGGCAAGUGGCGGACGGGUUAGUAAUACGAUCGAACGUACCCCGAAGUGGGGGAUAGCGGCGGGAAACUGCCGGUAAUACCCCAUGUGCUCUUCGGAGGAAAGAUUUAUCGCUUUGGGAUCGGCGAUCGUCCUAUCAGCUAGUUGGCGGGGUAAAGGCCCACCAAGGCGAAGACGGGUAGCAGGUGUGAGAGCACGACCUGCAACAUCGGAACUGAGAUACUGUCCGGACUCCUACGGGAGGCUGCAGCAACGAAUCUUCCGCAAUGGGCGCAAGCCUCACGGAGCAAUGCCGCGUGUGGGAUGAAGUGCCUCCGGCAUGUAAACCACUGUCAGAAGAUAGAAACACUGAUCAUCUUCAAAGGAAGUGGCGACUAACUCUGUGCCAGCAGUCGCGGUAAUACAGAGGCCACGAGCGUUAGUCGGAAUUACUGGGCUUAAAGGGUGCGUAGGCGGUUAUUCAAGCGUCCUGUGAAAGCCUCCCGCUCAACGGGAGAACAGCAGGGCGAACUGGGUGACUCGAGGUUGGUAGGGGCUCACAGAACAGUCGGUGGACCGGUGAAAUGGGUAGAGAUCGACUGGAAUGCCGAUGGCGAAGGCGGUGAGCUGGGCCAAAUCUGACGCUGAGGCACGAAAGCGUGGGGAGCAAACAGGAUUAGAUACCCUGGUAGUCC
rnacentral:rRNA from 1 species